ensembl:misc_RNA Metazoa_SRP Metazoan signal recognition particle RNA
GCUGGGCGCGGUGGCGCGUGUCUGGGAGGCUGAGGCUGGAAGAUCUCCAGUCCAGGAGUUCUGGGCUGUAGUGCGCUAUGCCAAUCGGGUGUCCGCACUAAGUUCAGCAUCAAUAUGGUGACCUCCCGGGAGUGGGGUCCACCAGGUUGCCUAAGGAGGGGUGAACCGGCCCAGGUCAGAAACGGAGCAGGUCAGAACUCCCAUGCUGAUGAACAGUAGUGGGAUCGCGCCUGUGAAAAACCACUGCACUCCAGCUUGGGCAAUAUAGCAAGACCCUGUCUCUG